GUUCCUAUUUGGCUGAGGGUUUUUGUCGUAAACGGAAGCUGAAUUUUGUCAUGUACUUUUCCUGCAUUUAUUGAGAUGAUCAUAGAGUUUUUUUUUCCUUUUGUCUGUGGAUAUGAAUUAUGUCCAUUGAUUUUUCCAGGCAUGUUGUUCAUUCAUUCGUCUGGCCAUUAUCUGUGAGCAGUCAUUGCCCCUGGGCACUGUGUUGGCUGUUGGAAGUGCAGCUCUGACUGUGGGGAAGGUCUCUGCCUUCAUAGAGCUGAGUCUCAGUCUACCUCUUGGGCUGUAAGAACCAGGACAGAUCCUAUCAGGACUGAGAUUCUACGAGGUUCCAGAUUAUCUGCCGAUUGUGAAGAAGGUGGAGGCCUGGAUUCACAAUCACCAGGUAGUGUUCCGUCCACACACCCCCACCCCCAUCUCCAGGCAUCUGCCCUGAUGGCCUCCGGGGCCCCCUCUGUGCCUGCAGAGAUGGCGGCCUGCGCUCCAGGUCAGGCCACGUUCCCGGGAGCCAAGGUCUGGCUGUUAUUCCAUGAGUGUCC
rnacentral:lncRNA from 1 species